AGUGAACGCUGGCGGUAGGCCUAACACAUGCAAGUCGAACGGCAGCACAGUAAGAGCUUGCUCUUACGGGUGGCGAGUGGCGGACGGGUGAGGAAUACAUCGGAAUCUACUUUUUCGUGGGGGAUAACGUAGGGAAACUUACGCUAAUACCGCAUACGACCUACGGGUGAAAGCAGGGGAUCCUCGGACCUUGCGCGAUUGAAUGAGCCGAUGUCGGAUUAGCUAGUUGGCGGGGUAAAGGCCCACCAAGGCGACGAUCCGUAGCUGGUCUGAGAGGAUGAUCAGCCACACUGGAACUGAGACACGGUCCAGACUCCUACGGGAGGCAGCAGUGGGGAAUAUUGGACAAUGGGCGCAGGCCUGAUCCAGCCAUACCGCGUGGGUGAAGAAGGCCUUCGGGUUGUAAAGCCCUUUUGUUGGGAAAGAAAAGCAGCAGGUUAAUACCCCGCUGUUCUGACGGUACCCAAAGAAUAAGCACCGGCUAACUUCGUG
rnacentral:rRNA from 1 species